rnacentral:rRNA from 1 species
UGGUAUUGAUUGGUGCUUGCAUCAUGAUUUACAUUUGAGUGAGUGGCGAACUGGUGAGUAACACGUGGGAAACCUGCCCAGAAGCGGGGGAUAACACCUGGAAACAGAUGCUAAUACCGCAUAACAACUUGGACCGCAUGGUCCGAGUUUGAAAGAUGGCUUCGGCUAUCACUUUUGGAUGGUCCCGCGGCGUAUUAGCUAGAUGGUGGGGUAACGGCUCACCAUGGCAAUGAUACGUAGCCGACCUAAGAGGGUAAUCGGCCACAUUGGGACUGAGACACGGCCCAAACUCCUACGGGAGGCAGCAGUAGGGAAUCUUCCACAAUGGACGAAAGUCUGAUGGAGCAACGCCGCGUGAGUGAAGAAGGGUUUCGGCUCGUAAAACUCUGUUGUUAAAGAAGAACAUAUCUGAGAGUAACUGUUCAGGUAUUGACGGUAUUUAACCAGAAAGCCACGGCUAACUACGUGCCAGCAGCCGCGGUAAUACGUAGGUGGCAAGCGUUGUCCGGAUUUAUUGGGCGUAAAGCGAGCGCAGGCGGUUUUUUAAGUCUGAUGUGAAAGCCUUCGGCUCAACCGAAGAAGUGCAUCGGAAACUGGGAAACUUGAGUGCAGAAGAGGACAGUGGAACUCCAUGUGUAGCGGUGAAAUGCGUAGAUAUAUGGAAGAACACCAGUGGCGAAGGCGGCU